UAAACAAAGAAUAAAACAUAUGGGUACAAGGAAUCUACUUUAUUCAACACACUAACCUAAUUUCCGAGACAUUUUACAUGCCUGAAACAUGUCUUAGAAAUUAUGGUUUUUCUUGGUUUGUGUGCUGAACAAAGUAGAUUCCUUGUACCCACAUGAUUUAUUCCUUGUUUAU
rnacentral:pre_miRNA from 1 species